UACGGAGGGGGCUAGCGUUGUUCGGAAUUACUGGGCGUAAGCGCACGUAGGCGGCUUUGCAAGUUAGAGGUGAAAGCCCGGGGCUCAACUCCGGAAUUGCCUUUAAAACUGCAUCGCUAGAAUUGUGGAGAGGUAAGUGGAAUUCCGAGUGUAGAGGUGAAAUUCGUAGAUAUUCGGAAGAACACCAGUGGCGAAGGCGACUUACUGGACACAUAUUGACGCUGAGGUGCGAAAGCGUGGGGAGCAAACAGG
rnacentral:rRNA from 1 species